rnacentral:rRNA from 1 species
GAUGAACGCUGGCGGCGUGCUUAACACAUGCAAGUCGAACGGGAAAUAUUUCAUUGAGCCUUCGGUGGAUUUGAUUUAUUUCUAGUGGCGGACGGGUGAGUAACGCGUGGGUAACCUGCCUUAUACAGGGGGAUAACAGUCAGAAAUGGCUGCUAAUACCGCAUAAGCGCACAGAGCUGCAUGGCUCAGUGUGAAAAACUCCGGUGGUAUAAGAUGGACCCGCGUUGGAUUAGCUAGUUGGUGGGGUAGCGGCCCACCAAGGCGACGAUCCAUAGCCGGCCUGGGAGGGUGACCGGCCACAUUGGGACUGAGACACGGCCCAGACUCCUACGGGAGGCAGCAGUGGGGAAUAUUGCACAAUGGGGGAAACCCUGAUGCAGCGACGCCGCGUGAAGGAAGAAGUAUCUCGGUAUGUAAACUUCUAUCAGCAGGGAAGAUAGUGACGGUACCUGACGAAGAAGCCCCGGCUAACUACGUG